UAAUACGUAGGCAGCAAGCGUUGUUCGGAAUUACUGGGCGUAAAGAGUGUGUAGGUGGUGUCGUAAGUUUGGUGUGAAAUCUCCCGGCUUAACUGGGAGGGUGCGCCGAAGACUGCGAUGCUGGAGUAUGGGAGAGGAAAGCGGAAUUCCUGGUGUAGCGGUGAAAUGCGUAGAUAUCAGGAGGAACACCUGCGGUGUAGACGGCUUUCUGGACCAUUACUGACACUGAGACACGAAAGCGUGGGUAGCAAACAGGAUUAGAUACCCUGGUAGUCCACGCCCUAAACGAUGCAUACUUGGUGUGAGCCAUUCAGUUGGUUCGUGCCGGAGCUAACGCGUUAAGUAUGCCGCCUGGGGAGUACGGUCGCAAGGCUG
rnacentral:rRNA from 1 species